rnacentral:rRNA from 1 species
UGGGGAAUCUUGGGCAAUGGGCGCAAGCCUGAUCCAGCCAUGCCGCGUGAGUGACGAAGGCCUUAGGGUUGUAAAGCUCUUUUGGCGGGGACGAUAAUGACGGUACCCGCAGAAUAAGCCCCGGCUAACUUCGUGCCAGCAGCCGCGGUAAUACGAAGGGGGCUAGCGUUGUUCGGAUUUACUGGGCGUAAAGCGCGUGUAGGCGGGUCGUUAAGUUGGGGGUGAAAUCCCGAGGCUCAACCUCGGAACUGCCUUCAAAACUGGCGACCUGGACUCAAGCAGAGGCAAGUGGAAUUGCGAGUGUAGAGGUGAAAUUCGUAGAUAUUCGCAGGAACACCAGUGGCGAAGGCGACUUGCUGGGCUUGUAGUGACGCUGAGAUGCGAAAGCGUGGGGAGCAAACAGGAUUAGAUACCCGAGUAGUCCCUGAGCGGGCUGGCAAGGCGCAU